rnacentral:rRNA from 1 species
GACGAACGCUGGCGGCGUGCCUAAUACAUGCAAGUCGAACGCGGGGGCGGACGGGUGAGUAAUAUAUAGCUAAUCUGCCCCUUGCUGGAGGACAACAGUUAGAAAUGACUGCUAAUACUCCAUAGCAAGGGAGGAGACUAUAUCGUAUCAGCUAGUCGGUGGGGUAACGGCGGACCGAGGCUAUGACGCGCAACUGGUCUGAGGGGACAAGGAGUCACAUUGGACCUGAGGCACGGUCCAAACUCCUACGGGAGGCGGCAGUAGGGAAUAUUGCGCAAUGGGGGAAACCCUGACGCAGCAACGGUGCGUGGAGGACGACACGUUUCGGGGCGUAAACUCCGUUUGUUAGGGAAGCGGUACCUGACGAAUAAGCACCGGCUAACUCCGUGCCAGCCGCCGCGGUAAUUC